GAUGAACGCUGGCGGCGUGCCUAAUACAUGCAAGUCGAGCGAACAGACGAGGAGCUUGCUCCUCUGACGUUAGCGGCGGACGGGUGAGUAACACGUGGAUAACCUACCUAUAAGACUGGGAUAACUUCGGGAAACCGGAGCUAAUACCGGAUAAUAUAUUGAACCGCAUGGUUCAAUAGUGAAAGACGGUUUUGCUGUCACUUAUAGAUGGAUCCGCGCCGCAUUAGCUAGUUGGUAAGGUAACGGCUUACCAAGGCAACGAUGCGUAGCCGACCUGAGAGGGUGAUCGGCCACACUGGAACUGGGACACGGUCCAGACUCCUACGGGAGGCAGCAGUAGGGAAUCUUCCGAGAUGGGCGAAAGCUUGACGGAGCAACGCCGCGUGAGUGAUGAAGGUCUUCGGAUCGUAAAACUCUGUUAUUAGGGAAGACCAAAUGUGUAAGUAACUAUGCACGUCUUGACGGUACCUAAUCAGAAAGCCACGGCUAACUACGUG
rnacentral:rRNA from 1 species